GUGUGUGUGUGAGAGAGAGAACCAUGGAGAUAACGAUAAUCCUUCCAACAGGAUUCUGGCAAAUUUGAGGGCAAGCAAUUCAGUAAAGAGUGAAAUAUAAUUGAACAUAAUGUGUUGACUGGAUAGAAGGACACCAUUCAUGAGGGUGAACUUUGAAGAUCUGGUUACUGCUGUAAUGAAGGCGGCUAUUGGCAUGCAAGGAAAGAUUCUACGAAAUAAUCAGGAGACUGAUGAUCUGAUUUCCUUUUUGAACACGAGAUGUUGUUUGAGGGAAAAACUGUGAAUCCAAAAGGAGGGGAUCGUGAAAGAGCAGAUACAUUCUUAGAAUUUCUUGUCAACCAACCAGGUGUAGGAAGAUCUUCAGGCUAUAGGACUGCCUGUGGCAGUUGGACAUGUUUUUAUCCUGGUCCUUUGCAGCAGGGUGUGAAAAUCUGGAGAUUUUCUAUGUUCUGCUGCCAAAGAAACAAACAAGCCAAAAAAUGAGGAAAACCACACAACAGUAAUCAUAACAAUUUUGUGAACUCUGGCACAGAAACACUGUUGAAA